UUUUUCUCUAAUAAACAUUGGCCACAAUUAAUGGCACCCUUUUAAUCAAUACUUUUUGAAACCUCCAUUUGCCAGUUUAACAGGUCUAAAUUUUCUCCUAUAAUGCCUGAGAACACCUCACAAGAGAUCAGAGACCAUUCCUUCAUCCAGAAUCCCUCCAGACCCUUUAGAUUCCCAGCUCCACGUUGGUGUUUCUCCUCUUCAGUUCACUCCUCUCAUUUUCUAUAGGGUUCAGGUCAGAGGACUGGAAUGGCUAUAACAGAAGCUUGGUUUUGAGCUCAGUGACCCAUUUCUGUGUUGUUUUUGAGGUUUGUGUUUGGGUUAUUGUACGUCACUUACUGAUUUUUUAUCUGUUGGUAUUUGAUAGAAUCCAUGAUGCCAUGUGUCUAAACAAGAUGUCCAGGACCCCCAGCAGAAAUAUAGGCCCA